rnacentral:lncRNA from 1 species
CUUAAAGAGUCUAACAUAUUGUUAUUUUGGGGAAGGCUGUGAAAUUCGCUAAGCGACCCUCCAGAAUUCUAAGUAUUUUUUAUAUAACAAUUAUUGAGGGCCCCGCAAUUUGUGUUUUAUUUGGCGAGGCCCGUCUCAUCAUUUAUUAAAAGACCAACCUAAAAGUGACUACGAUUUUCUAUCUAUUAUUUGCUUCUAAAAGAAGAAAACUUAAUUAAUCAAGAAUUGAAUUAUAUUAAGUAAAAUUAAGAAAUGAAUUCUCACGGCCCAAAUCAAACAAUCAGUCAGCCUGCAUAAGGGGCUUCGAUACAGCCAAAUUGCUAAAGCCAGCAUAAGUGGAAGGCGGCUCAGGCAGCCGUGACACCUAUCCUAGGAUUGAAUCCCAACAGGUACAAAUGCAGCCCAAGUUCAAAUAGACAAACUAAUUGUUACACCACUCAAAUUAGGCCCGACGCCUACUGAUAUCAACAGAGAUGAACUUUAUAUUCUGAUUGCCUUAUUCAAUUACUGCUGGUGAAUUUAUAAUUACUCCAAAAGGCGAAAUAAAUUAGAAAUUGAAGAAUAGCUCAAGUUUCUAAGAAUUAAGAACUAAUCCCAUUCAUUAGCAUUUAAAGAUGGCAAAUAAACUGCUUACACUAACGUCAUUUACACAUGAUUUCCAAAAUUGGACACAUGAGCUAGCAUACUGGAAUGCACACUGUUUUAACUUAUCUCAAAAAAACAAAAAAAAACUACUGGAGGUAAGCUACAUUAUACCACAGUACAUUAUACUAUUAAACCAAAUUAACUCAAACCAAGUUUGCAACGCAGGUUCACUGUUCAGAAAGCUAAUUCCAUAAUCUACACAUCUACGAAUGAGUCCAGGAUUAUUACAGAAUAUCAAUCACAAUAACCAAACAAUUGAAUCACAUAUUAUUUUAAAGUGACAGAAAUAUCAGAAUUUAAAUCCACAUAAAGAGAAUCCUUCUCAGUUUAUUCCAUGUUUCAACCAAGUGAAGCUACAACCAUAGAGUCUCAAGUUGUGUACCUGAAUUAUGGAAAUAUGAGAAGAAAAAGAGGUCAGCUAUAGUAGUAACUUCGAACAGCAACAACAACCAAAAUCCAGCAAUAUAGAAUCAAUGAGCAGUCCAGGAAGUGAUUUUAAGCCAAAAAUGUUCACUAAACAAGCAGACCCAACAGCUCAACUCAACACACACUCGAAAUGCACUCAAAGCCCUCAAAACUGAACCUAGAUGCCUCUAAAACCUUACUGGAACCAAACCCAACUGAUAUUCAAACCAAAUAAGCCCCAAAUUCACUUGAACUAGUCAUCAAACAAUUCCGGACACUUUUAGAACUAGAGCUUCGAGCAGAAAUGAAGAAUACCAAAGAAGAAACUUAAAGUCACUAAAAUAGGUAAUGGAAUAGUGAAAAAUAUCUUUGGUUUUUCUAUUUUUCUGAUGUUUUUUGUAUUUGUUGUAUAUUUGAAUUCAAAUGCAGAUUAAAAAGAGGAAGAGAGUUUUUCAGUGUGAAGUUUUAGUGCUGGAAAAGAGACCCCCCUCAAGGCAUUUUGAUGCCCUUUUAUAGGCAACCAAGAGUGAGCCUCAGAUUUUAGUUUUCCCUUUAGGUCCCUCAUUUCAUUUCAACUCCAGUCCCUUAAUUUUUUAACUUAUUCUGCAAGAUAACACCCAUUUUUACUGAUAUUCCACUACUACCCCAACCUAGAAGCUUCUAGGGGAUACUAGAUCAAAUACCAAAGAAACAUUACCCUGAAAUACCCUAAUUACCCUUCAAUUUUUCUGAACUAUCGAACUAAACCGACUGUCUUCAACCCCUUAACCAUGGCUACCUAAAUAACUUCAACUAACAACCCAAAUAAGUGGUAGAAAAUUUAUCAUGAUUGAGAACACAUAAUUAGAUGGACUUGACACUAAAUUGAACUAAUAACUCGAAAUUAAACUAAUAUUAUCCCUAACUAAUAAUCAACAGCUAACAUUAAAAUCAAACUAAAUCAAACCUAUACAGGCUAACACUUAGGCAUAGAAUUUAAUCAAAAGUUAACAUUGAUGCAUAUUAGUCUAAGUAAGAGAGCAGGAGGGAAUUAAACAAUAAAAAGAAAAAUCGAACUUAACUGAGCGGCCCCAAAACUAAGUCCUUCGAUCUGAAAUUUGAGGCACCCUGGUGACAUUUGACCCUCUAUGACCUUGAAAUCCCCAUAAGGAAGAUGAACAUAUCAGUUUGGGGUAAUUUGGGAAAUUAGGGUUCUUGGCCAAAAAGUCUUCAAAUCCAAAUUUGAGUGGCUUCAGUGAGAUUCGAGGGAAGAUUGUCACAGAUUUAGGUUAAGGGAAGUCAGGGGAGUCAUUGUGUAAGUUUGGAGUGAUUUGGAAGAGGUGGCGUCGUGGCCGGAAAACCUUGGAAGAAUAUUUGAGAUGUUUGACUGUGAUUCGAAGGAAACCAGUCAUGGAUUUGGGUAGAGGAAGAGAAGGAGAAUCUGGGGUGUAAUUUUGGAGCCGAUUGGAGUAGGUGUCGUUCACCGCCGGCGACGGCUCCGGUGGUGUUACAGGUUCAGUGCGAGGAAGAUUAAGAGUGUAUGAGGUUAAUUGAUUUGUUUUAGACAGUUUUAUUAUAACAACAAGAGCAACUUGUGGCCGUUGGAUCCGGAAGAUCGUUGGCACAGAUUUGUUUGACGAAACAGGAUCGUUUGAUUGAGG